GCGAGGAUAGCGUUCCUGCAGGGCGAGAGGAAAGGUCAGGAGAACCUGAAGAACGACCUGGUUAGAAGAAUAAAAAUGUUAGAAUACGCUUUAAAACAGGAAAGAGCAAAAUACCACAAAUUAAAAUACGGAACAGAGUUAAACCAAGGAGAGAUGAAGAUGCCAAGCUUCGAAUCAGACACCAAAGACUCAGAAGUCUCUGCUGUUCCCGCCAACAGUCAGCUCACCUGGAAACAAGGAAGACAACUACUCAGACAGUAAGAGCACUGACAACAUAACG